UGUGCCAAGUGCUGUAGAGAAAAACAAAGCAGGUAAGAGGGAUAGAUGCAAUUUUCAACAGCCUCAGCAGGGAUGGCUUUCCUAGAAAGUAACAUCUGAGCAUGAAACUUUCUGGGGAAGAGUAUUACAGAUGAAAGACCAGCACAAAGACACUGAAGAAUGAACAUGACUCCCGUGCUCCAGGAACCACGGAUUGGCAGAGGUUCUGGAGGAGGGAGAGGUAUAGGAAAGGAUGUCAGAGAGGUGAGCUCUAUGUGUGGGGGAAGGGCCAGUAGUGUAGGGUCCUAUAGGUAGCAGUAAGGACGUCGGCCCUUAUUGUGAAAGGGCUGAGAAGCCAUUGGAAGACUCUGAGCUGAGACUCAUUCUCACUGAUGUCUGAAGAUGGACUGUGGAGGGAUGAGAGUGAAAGCCAGGAGACCCAUGAAAGGGCUAAGCUGUAUCCUCUCAAAAUUCCUAAGUUGAAGCCCUAACCUCCAGUACCUCGAAAUGUGACCAUAUUUGGAGAUAGGGUCCUUAAAAAGGAAGUUAAGUUAAAAUUAGGCCAUUAUGGGACCUAAUCCUAUAUGAUGGUGUCCCUACAGGAAAAGAAAACCAAGACCCAGAUAUGUACAUAACAGAGGGAAGACCACGUAGAAACACAAGGAGAAGGCCAUCUGUGAGCUAACAAGAGACUGGAGAAGAAACCAACCCAGAUGACACCUUGAUCUUGGACUUCUAGCCUCCAGAGUUGCAAGAUUAGCAACAUUCUCCGUGGAGCAACAUGUGGGAAGAAUAAAACAAAUCCUCCUUGAGCCAAAAAGUCUGCUUCUACCUGCUGGCUCAUCUCUGAAGUGUCAUUUUAUGACUUUAAUCCCUACUAUGCUGAAAACAAUCCAGAAAGAAAUAUGAUACAAUUUCAAAAUCUUGCAUUUUGAGAAGAGAGAUGGCCAAGUGUCAGCAUAUGCUUCACUGGUUUGCCAACCCUCGAUCCCCAUGUUCCCAAAGGACAACAUGAUGAAGACCAGGUGAACACCUGCAGUCACAGUGGGCUACAUUACAGAAGAAUCUUCACUUCAGAGCACCUGAAUAUUUCAUCAUGAGCAUUCAGCAUCCCUGCCCUUUGCCACAGUGGGAGAUAUUCUUUUUACACUGGAUAGUAAGUGUGUCCGCCUUUUGCUGUGGCUGAAGACACUUCCUCUAUCUUGAAAGGCUGUUCACUGUAUGAACAGUCCUGCAGAAAUAGCCUGCAACAAAGGAGAGCCAGAGCUUCACUUGUAACAUGUGCUGAAACACGAGAGACCCGUGGAGAACUGUCACCCAACAAUAACUGUGUGUUAUUUUUACAAAAAUAAUAUAGUUUUUUUCUUUCAAAGUAAGAACCAGAAUAAAGAU